AGCGAACGCUGGCGGCAGGCCUAACACAUGCAAGUCGAACGAACCUUUCGGGGUUAGUGGCGGACGGGUGAGUAACACGUGGGAACGUGCCUUUAGGUUCGGAAUAACUCAGUGAAACUUGUGCUCAUACCGAAUGUGCCCUUCGGGGGAAAGAUGAAUCGCCUUUAGAGCGGCCCGCGUCUGAUUAGCUAGUUGGUUGAGGUAAUGGCUCACCAAGGCGAGGAUGAGUAGCUGGUCUGAGAGGAUGAUCAGCCACAUUGGGACUGAGACACGGCCCAAAAUCGGACGGGAGGGAGGAGAGGGGAAUCUUACGGAAGGGGCGAAAGCCUGACAAAGCCAUGCCGGGUGAAAGAGGAAGGGCUUAGGAUAGUAAAAUUCUUUCAGAGGGGACGAUAAUGACGGUACUCGGAGAAGAAGCCCCGGCUAACUACGUG
rnacentral:rRNA from 1 species